CGAACGCUGGCGGCGUGCCUAAUACAUGCAAGUCUAACGAGAACGUCCCCUUCGGGGGGCUAUUAAAGUGGCGAACGGGUGAGUAACACGUAGGCAACCUGCCCUCGGGUGUGGAAUAACCUUGCUAACGCGGGGCUAAUACCACAUAAUGCAGUGAAUCCGCAUGGAUAUAUUGUUAAAGCGGGGGAUCCUUCGGGACCUCGUGCCUGAGGAUGGGCCUGCGGUCCAUUAGUUUGUUGGUGAGGUAACGGCUCACCAAGACAUCGAUGGAUAGCCGACCUGAGAGGGUGAUCGGCCACACUGGGACUGAGAUACGGCCCAGACUCCUACGGGAGGCAGCAGUAAGGGAUAUUGCGCAAUGGCCUAACGGCUGACGCAGCAACGCCGCGUGACUGAUGAAGCUCUAAGGAGUGUAAAGGUCUGUUAGAGGGAAAGAACAGCGCCGAGGUUAAUAAUUUCGGCGUCUGACGGUACCCUCAGAGAAAGCACCGGCUAACUCC
rnacentral:rRNA from 1 species